AUGCACCUGGGCAAGGAUUCUGAA
rnacentral:ncRNA from 4 species